CGACCUCAGAUCAGACGAGACGACCCGCUGAACUUAA
rnacentral:rRNA from 1 species